rnacentral:tRNA from 1 species
GGGAAUGUGGCUUAGUGGUAAAGUGUUUGCCUAGCAUUCAUGAGGCCCUGGGUUCAAUUCCUUGUUGCCA